rnacentral:rRNA from 1 species
AUGGAGAGUUUGAUCCUGGCUCAGGACGAACGCUGGCGGCGUGCUUAACACAUGCAAGUCGAACGGAUCACCUUUGCUUCGGUUUUGGUGGUUAGUGGCGAACGGGUGAGUAACACGUGAGCAACCUGCCCUUCACUGGGGGAUAACUGUGGGAAACUUCAGCUAAUACCG